rnacentral:rRNA from 1 species
CGUCACACUAUCAUUAACUGAAUCCAUAGGUUAAUGAGGCGAACCGGGGGAACUGAAACAUCUAAGUACCCCGAGGAAAAGAAAUCAACCGAGAUUCCCCCAGUAGCGGCGAGCGAACGGGGAGGAGCCCAGAGCCUGAAUCAGCAUGUGUGUUAGUGGAAGCGUCUGGAAAGGCGCGCGAUACAGGGUGACAGCCCCGUACACAAAAGCGCAUGUGCUGUGAGCUCGAUGAGUAGGGCGGGACACGUGGUAUCCUGUCUGAAUAUGGGGGGACCAUCCUCCAAGGCUAAAUACUCCUGACUGACCGAUAGUGAACCAGUACCGUGAGGGAAAGGCGAAAAGAACCCCGGCGAGGGGAGUGAAAAAGAACCUGAAACCGUGUACGUACAAGCAGUGGGAGCACAGGUUUACCUGUGUGACUGCGUACCUUUUGUAUAAUGGGUCAGCGACUUAUAUUCUGUAGCAAGGUUAACCGAAUAGGGGAGCCGGAGGGAAACCGAGUCUUAAUUGGGCGUUAAGUUGCAGGGUAUAGACCCGAAACCCGGUGAUCUAGCCAUGGGCAGGUUGAAGGUUGGGUAACACUAACUGGAGGACCGAACCGACUAAUGUUGAAAAAUUAGCGGAUGACCUGUGGCUGGGGGUGAAAGGCCAAUCAAACCGGGAGAUAGCUGGUUCUCCCCGAAAGCUAUUUAGGUAGCGCCUCGUGAAUUCAUCUCCGGGGGUAGAGCACUGUUUCGGCUAGGGGGCCAUCCCGGCUUACCAACCCGAUGCAAACUGCGAAUACCGGAGAAUGUUAUCACGGGAGACACACGGCGGGUGCUAACGUCCGUCGUGAAGAGGGAAACAACCCAGACCGCCAGCUAAGGUCCCAAAGUCAUGGUUAAGUGGGAAACGAUGUGGGAAGGCCCAGACAGCCAGGAUGUUGGCUUAGAAGCAGCCAUCAUUUAAAGAAAGCGUAAUAGCUCACUGGUCGAGUCGGCCUGCGCGGAAGAUGUAACGGGGCUAAACCAUGCACCGAAGCUGCGGCAGCGACACUGUGUGUUGUUGGGUAGGGGAGCGUUCUGUAAGCCUGUGAAGGUGUGUCGUGAGGC